rnacentral:lncRNA from 1 species
UUGUCAUCUGUUGAUGUGGUUUAUAAAUUUUUUUCUUGUUUCACUUUUUUUUUUUUAUAGAUUAGACCGUUUGUUUUCUCGUUUAAAUGGUUUUUCCCUUUUUUUUUUUUUUGGGGGGGGGGGAUAUAGCUUGCUGUUUGGUGUGAGCCAAGGCUCCGUGUCGAAGACCGUACAUUGACCUAUAAUGGUCUAUUUUUAUAAAUUG